UGUGAGAUAAAAAAGUAAUAACGCUGCCCUCCAUUAUUUAUUAGCAGCCUUUAUUUCUCCCAGCAAAAUAAUUCCCUUCCUCCCCGGGUCGGUCGGGAGCGCAGCGCGAUGCCGUCACCCCGUCCCUCAGGACGUGGGCAUGGUUUGGAGCAGACGGGGUACUGCGGUGUCCCGGCCGAGUGCCACCAGGGGUGUUUGUGUUGUGUGGGACCCGUGUGGUGUCCCUGUCCCCGUGUGGUGUCCCCGUCCCUGUGUGGUGUCCCUGUCCCCGUGUGCAGCUCUGCUCUGCAUGGCCCUGGGGACACGGCUCCGGCAGUCCCGCGCUGCCCAGGGUUAGUGUUGGCUGUAUUGACUGCAUUUGUGACAGCUGGGGCUCAAUAUUGAAAUUACUCAGAGCUCCAGAUAGCCAGGCUGAAUCAAUCCGUUUGUUAGUGGGAGCCAAAGGCAGCACGACAGCGAAGGAAUAUUGCAUCCUCAGAGGGAGGCCGCGGCAGGGAGGGAUCGGCCCCAUGACCACGUUUACAGCCAUCUUUGUGAUUUUGCCUGCCAUCGUGUCUUUGCUUUAGCCCUGAGGUCCCAAACUCGGCAGGUCCAUGACCUCCCCUUCUCCUGAGGCAGCUCUCGGGAGCAGACCUCGUCCCCUGGCCGGGCAGCACGGCUUAGCCCAAGCAGAAGGGAGGCGGCGGUGCUGUCGCUCACAGACACGUUGUUUCCAAGACCCAGCUGUGGAUGUGAGGAUCAGCAACGAAAACCCGUCACCAGACCAUGUGCAGGUGUGGCACUCAGGUGUCUGGCACUGCGGGGUUCCCAGCAGGGAGAGGCUCUGUCUAACACGGGAACGCUGUCCUUGCUGUCCUCGCUCCCCGCAGCGGGGAAUCACCGCCGCUCCCAGCCCCAGGCACCUCUCUGCUGGAAGGCAUCGGGCGGACCGGGUGGCAUUGCCAUGGCAAUCAUCACCUGGGAAACCGAGAGGUGUGGAGCUGACAAAACGGAGGUGUUCGCUCGCUUUUCUUUGGGAAGCAGGUUGGCUCGGACCUGGCAUCCAGAUGGGCUCUGAUGGGCCCUCAGAUGGGCUCUGUCCAGGAGGAAGGGACCCAGAAAGGAGAAGGCUGAGGUUCAAAGAAAUAAAACCAAACUCUGGCACCAGUGAAGUCUGCCAUGAACUGACCUGCACUGAGCUUCUUCUCUUCUGCUUUGGAGGUGCAAUGGGACUGUUCCAGGGAUGCUUUGUGCUAGCUGCUAGAGAGGCACCGCAAUUUCAGAAGGUCCUUGACUAUGCCAAGACCUCCAGCUCCUCCUUCUCGUGGGCUUUGCCACCUCUGCAGGGCAGCCCUGGCUGAUGGAUGACCAUAAUGCCAGCUCCAUGCCAUAAGCUGAACUCCAAACUAUCAUGACAAUAAGACUUUUUGUUGGUUUGUUUGUUUGCUGAAAGGGUGGUGAAUAACCUUUGAGAGGUGCCCUGGCUUUGGGACUGCAUUUGCCCCUCCAUUCCCUGGUAUAACAGUGCACGGAAACAAGAAGCUGAAGCCCUCAGAGACAGCUUUUCUCCAUGCUCCCUGCAUGCUCCCACUUAUCCCAAAAAUGAAAACCAGGACACAAGUCCAUCUUUAUUAUCCGAGCUCUUUGGUAGAAGUGGCAAAUGGUUCCUGUUUUCCUCAUGUGAGGCUGGAUCUGAGCUUGCUGGGAACAUUGCUCAGCAUGGCUGGGUUUCCUCAUUUUUCCUUGUAAAUGGAGGUGGUCACGGCCACGCGGCCUGAGGCAGUUUAUGGAUUUUGUUCACAAACUUUACAAAGCACUCAGGAAGGGAUGCAGCCUGAUGGCUGAACCCAGAGCAUGUGGUCUGGGAGACCCAAACCAGUCAUCAAUAACGUGGGGCUCCCUACUGUUGGGCCGUGGCUCCGUGGGGAAAGGGCGGCAGCUUCCUCAAAGGGCUCCGAGAGCCAAGGGGCCGCACGCUGCCAGCGCCAACCAAAUGAGCUCACAGGGAAACACCUGGGGCAAAGAGGCGGCCACGUGGACUUGGCAGUGCCCUGGCAAGGCCGGCGUGUCUCCAGGGCACGCAGAAGGGUUUCCAUCUGAUGCGCUAAUGCUUGGCGAAGCCUGGCGUGCCUUGUCACCCUGCCUGUCCUUGCUGUGCAGCCACAUCCCCGGCAGCACAGUGAAACUGGCACAAAACCUGAGCAGGGAGCAAGAGCAACCGGCACCCCAAAGGUUAGGUGGGCACUUUUGUUUGUGGGGUCUCAGAAUCUAUUUUGUCCCUUUAUUUAUUUAUUUAUUUAUUUUAAUUUUUUUUUUUUUUUUUAAUACAAGAGUCCUACAGCUGCAGGGGGAAUGCCUUGGCACAAAGUGACCAGGGAAAAAAAAAAUCAUUGCACAAGUUGAGAGUGACAUGCAAAGCACAGAGGGAGACAAAAUACCAGGGGAUUCCUAGGGCUGGGGGGCUGGUAUUUUUGAAGGAGCCCCGUGGGGCUGGGUAUGGGGCUGCGAUGCUGUGGGCUACCAGCACGUAGCUCUCCAGGCAGAAUUAAAUCAUAGAAACAUCGAAUUGGUUAGGCUGGAAAAGACCUCUAAUAUCAUCUGGUCCAACCUGCCCCCGGCCUUAAAACUCAGCUUGAACAAAGUGCUGCUGUUAGUCCUUUUAGUAACAGCAGUAAAGAUUUUUUACUGUUGUUUCACACAGAAGUCUCACAGCAUGUCCCCAUUGUUAUUUUGGGGCUGUUCCUCAGACCCAGCUGGAAUCGGUGAGGCCGGCGCCGAGCAAGCACCAUGUCGGGCUGGUUUAUGGCAAGCGGUGCAGGAGCGGGGAUGAUGCUCACGUGCCCCAAACGGGGGUGCCACGGGGCAGCGUACCCAUGGGUUGCUCGGUGUUCAGACCAAGGGCAAACGCUGCCUCGCUGGAGCAGAGCUUCCCAGGGGGGUUUUGCUCCUCAGAUGUUCCUGGUGCUUUUUCUCCCUCUUUUCCAGCUGUGCUGUCCAUGAAGGCUUUCCGAGUGUUCAUUCACAUCAGUUUUUGUGCCUGGAAAAGGGGCAGGCAGGAGGCAGAUUCGCUGCCUAUGGGACCAGCUUGGCCGCAAGAAGUGGGAAUGUUGGGACUGCUCCGCCUGGAGAAGGGGAGGCUGGAGGGAAGCUCACAAAGCCCAUAAAUACCUGCAGGGGGUGCAGAGAGGACCUGCUCAGGACCAGGCUCUGCUCAGCAGUGCCCAGGGCCAGGACCAGAGGCUGUGGGCAGAACCCGGAGCACAGGAGGUCCCCUCUGACCCCAGGAGCUUCAAACCCACCUGGACGCGGUACUGGGCACCCUGCUUGGGGCUGGAUGGAGCCCAAGGCCCCUUCCCACCUCAACCAGACGGCAAUUCCGUGACUCUGUGAAACCCACGGUGACCAGGAACCGCUGCCUUUAAAGCUUCAGCCUUAAUGGGAACGUUUCUGCUGCCAGGGUGCAGCCCACCCGCAGCCGGUGCAGUUCCGAGAUCAGAAGGUGGCUGAUGCUAUUUUGGGGGUGAGUUGUGCUUCCCAGCGUGCAGGUACCCUCUGUCUGGACUUUCAUGUUGCAGGUAAUUGGAAAGGUUCAUGGCGCUGGCAGUGCUCGUUCCUGCCCCACUACUGGCAGCCGGAGACGCUCGGAGUCGGAGCGAGGGCUUGUUUGAUAGCCGGUGGCGGUCCCAAAUCAUUAUUUUCUGCGUUUGCUCUAAUCGUGACUUCUCGGAAAGAGGUGACACUGUGCAGGCAUUGCGAUGUUCAGAUCAUAGCUGGACUUAGGGAAAUACUUGUCAUCAUGAAAUAUCAGUCGCGUUGGUACCAGUUAGCCUGGUCUCAUAGCUGAGAGGCGUGAAGGAUGAGUAGGAAAGCAACUGUGACUAAUGGAAGCUCUUCUCAAAUGUAUGUAGUCAUAGGAGUUAAUGAAAAAAGGAAAAAGAGAUGGCUCUUGAACUCUCCAUCAGGAGAAGUGAAGUGUAACACCAGGCAGAAAAAGGAGCUAACGCUUUCAGCUUCCUUUCCAGCAAUUAUUUUGUGUUUUCAAGUAUCUCUGAGCUCCCAGAUCAGCUUAGGAAACUAUUUGCUGAAUAUUUCCUGGAAAGACUCAGCAUCAGUACAAGAAAUCCCACUCUAGCCUCAUUCUUACCCGUCCUGACAAGGAGCAGCAGGGGCAGGGCAGGGUCAGCCCCCGUUCUGCUGAGUGCUUGCCCCAGAUGAAGAGCUCUGUCACCCUGCUCUUGAUGCUCACAGGAGCAGGCGAGCACAGGAGCAGCUCAGCCGCCACUUCAAGCUCCCCUUUCUUAUUGCAUUAAGUCCUCGUGGCUUGAAUUUACUGCAGCAGGAAAGGCUCCUCUGUGAGAGCCAGCAGGGGAAAGCACGCAGCAUUAAAGCACUGAAAAAAACAUCACCCUGCUUUAUGCAAAAAGUUACGGCUGGAUUAAUUAUUUCUGCCUCCUUGUAAGAGAUGAAUAAACAUCAUACAGAGGAUUUUGAGAAUGGGAAU
rnacentral:lncRNA from 1 species